rnacentral:rRNA from 1 species
GAGUUUGAUCCUGGCUCAGGAUGAANGCUGNGGGCGUGCCUAACACAUGCAAGUCGAACGGACUCAUACUGAAACCUAGUGAUUUAUGAGUUAGUGGCGGACGGGUGAGUAACGCGUGGAUAACCUGCCGUAUACCGGGGGAUAACACUUAGAAAUAGGUGCUAAUACCGCAUGAGCGCACAGCUCCGCAUGGGGCGGUGUGAAAAACUCCGGUGGUAUACGAUGGAUCCGCGUCUGAUUAGCCAGUUGGCGGGGUAACGGCCCACCAAAGCGACGAUCAGUAGCCGGCCUGAGAGGGUGAACGGCCACAUUGGGACUGAGACACGGCCCAGACUCCUACGGGAGGCAGCAGUGGGGAAUAUUGCACAAUGGGGGAAACCCUGAUGCAGCGACGCCGCGUGAGUGAAGAAGUAUCUCGGUAUGUAAAGCUCUAUCAGCAGGAAAGAUAAUGACGGUACCUGACUAAGAAGCCCCGGCUAACUACGUGCCAGCAGCCGCGGUAAUACGUAGGGGGCAAGCGUUAUCCGGAUUUACUGGGUGUAAAGGGAGCGUAGACGGCAGCACAAGUCUGGAGUGAAAUCCCGGGGCUUAACCCCGGAACUGCUUUGGAAACUGUGCGGCUGGAGUGCAGGAGGGGUAAGCGGAAUUCCUAG